CCUACGGGAGGCAGCAGUGGGGGAUAUUGCACAAUGGGGGGAACACUGAUGCAGCGACGCCGCGUGGGUGAAGAAGCGCCACGGCGCCUUAAGCCUUGUCAGCCGGGAAGAAAAUGACGGUACCUGUAGACGAAGCCCCGGCUAACUACGUGCCAGCACCCGCGGUAACACGGCGGGGGCAAGCGUAAUCCGGAUUUACUGGGUGUAAAGGGGGUGCAGACGGCGCUGCAAGCCAGGAGGGAAAGCCCGGGGCCCAACCCCGGGACUGCGGGUGGAACUGCGUGGCUAGAGUGCAGGAGGGGCAGGCGGAAUGCGUGGUGUAGCGGUGAAAUGCGUAGAUAUCAGGAGGAACACCGGUUGCGAAGGCGGUCUGCUGGACUGCAACUGACGUUGAGGCCCGAAAGCGUGGGGAGCAAACAGGAUUAGAUACCCCAGUAGUC
rnacentral:rRNA from 1 species